GAUGAACGCUGACAGAAUGCUUUACACAUGCAAAUCUAUGUUGAAGAUUUAGCUUGCUAGAUUGGAAGCAUGGUGGACUGGUGAGUAACGUGUAAGAAACUUGCCUCUUAGACUGGGAUAACAUUUGGAAACGAAUGAUAAUACUAGAUAUUAUUACUACAUGGCAUCAUGAAGUAAUGAAAGGCUAUAAGCGCUAAGAGAGAGUCUUGCAUCCUAUUAGCUAGUUGGUGAGGUAACGGCUCACCAAGGCGAUGAUAGGUAGCCGGCCUGAGAGGGUGAACGGCCACAAGGGGACUGAGAUACGGCCCUUACUCCUACGGGAGGCAGCAGUGGGGAAUAUUGGACAAUGGAGGGAACUCUGAUCCAGCAAUUCUGUGUGCAUGAAGAAGGUUUUAGGAUUGUAAAAUGCUUUCAGCAGGGAAGAAGAAAGUGACAGUACCUGCAGAAGAAGCGACGGCUAAAUACGUGCCAGCAGCCGCGGUAAUACGUAUGUCGCAAGCGUUAUCCGGAAUUAUUGGGCUUAAAGGGCAUCUAGGCGGUAUAGCAAGUUGAAGGUGAAAAGCUGUGGCUCAACCAUAGUCUUGCCUACAAAACUGCUUUACUAGAGUACUGGAAAGGUGGGUGGAACUACACGAGUAGAGGUGAAAUUCGUAGAUAUGUGUAGGAAUGCCGAUGAUGAAGAUAACUCACUGGACAGAAACUGACGCUGAAGUGCGAAAGCUAGGGGAGCGAACAGG
rnacentral:rRNA from 1 species